rnacentral:rRNA from 1 species
GCUGGCGGCGUGCUUAACACAUGCAAGUCGAACGGAAAGGCCCUGCUUUUGUGGGGUGCUCGAGUGGCGAACGGGUGAGUAACACGUGAGUAACCUGCCCUUGACUUUGGGAUAACUUCAGGAAACUGGGGCUAAUACCGGAUAGGAGCUCCUGCUGCAUGGUGGGGGUUGGAAAGUUUCGGCGGUUGGGGAUGGACUCGCGGCUUAUCAGCUUGUUGGUGGGGUAGUGGCUUACCAAGGCUUUGACGGGUAGCCGGCCUGAGAGGGUGACCGGCCACAUUGGGACUGAGAUACGGCCCAGACUCCUACGGGAGGCAGCAGUGGGGAAUAUUGCACAAUGGGCGGAAGCCUGAUGCAGCAACGCCGCGUGCGGGAUGACGGCCUUCGGGUUGUAAACCGCUUUCGCCUGUGACGAAGCGUGAGUGACGGUAAUGGGUAAAGAAGCACCGGCUAACUACGUGCCAGCAGCCGCGGUGAUACGUAGGGUGCGAGCGUUGUCCGGAUUUAUUGGGCGUAAAGGGCUCGUAGGUGGUUGAUCGCGUCGGAAGUGUAAUCUUGGGGCUUAACCCUGAGCGUGCUUUCGAUACGGGUUGACUUGAGGAAGGUAGGGGAGAAUGGAAUUCCUGGUGGAGCGGUGGAAUGCGCAGAUAUCAGGAGGAACACCAGUGGCGAAGGCGGUUCUCUGGGCCUUUCCUGACGCUGAGGAGCGAAAGCGUGGGGAGCGAACAGGCUUAGAUACCCUGGUAGUCCACGCUGUAAACGGUGGGUACUAGGUGUGGGGUCCAUUCCACGGGUUCCGUGCCGUAGCUAACGCUUUAAGUACCCCGCCUGGGGAGUACGGCCGCAAGGCUAAAACUCAAAGGAAUUGACGGGGCCCCGCACAAGCGGCGGAGCAUGCGGAUUAAUUCGAUGCAACGCGUAGAACCUUACCUGGGUUUGACAUGGAUCGGGAGUGCUCAGAGAUGGGUGUGCCUCUUUUGGGGUCGGUUCACAGGUGGUGCAUGGCUGUCGUCAGCUCGUGUCGUGAGAUGUUGGGUUAAGUCCCGCAACGAGCGCAACCCUUGUUCACUGUUGCCAGCACGUUAUGGUGGGGACUCAGUGGAGACCGCCGGGGUCAACUCGGAGGAAGGUGGGGAUGACGUCAAGUCAUCAUGCCCCUUAUGUCCAGGGCUUCACGCAUGCUACAAUGGCUGGUACAGAGAGUGGCGAGCCUGUGAGGGUGAGCGAAUCUCGGAAAGCCGGUCUCAGUUCGGAUUGGGGUCUGCAACUCGACCUCAUGAAGUCGGAGUCGCUAGUAAUCGCAGAUCAGCAACGCUGCGGUGAAUACGUUCCCGGGGCUUGUACACACCGCCCGUCAAGUCAUGAAAGUUGGUAACACCCGAAGCCGGUGGCCUAACCGUUGUGGGGGAGCCGUCGAAGGUGGG